GGGAACUUAGCUCAACGGGAGAGCAUUUGCCUUACAAGCAAAAGGUCGAUGGUUCGACACCAUCAGUUCCCACCA
rnacentral:tRNA from 2 species